rnacentral:rRNA from 1 species
CCUACGGGUGGCAGCAGUGAGGAAUAUUGGUCAAUGGGGGAAACCCUGAUGCAGCGACGCCGCGUGAGGGAAUAAGUAUUUCGGUAUGUAAAGCUCUGUCAGCAGGGAAGAAAAUGACGGUACCUGAGUAAGAAGCACCGGCUAAAGACGUGCCAGCAACCGCGGUCAUACGUAUGGUACCAGCGUUAUCCGGAUUUACUGGGGGUAAAGGGAGCGCAGGCGGGACGGCAAGCCUGAUGGGAAAGCCCGCGGGCCAACCGCGGGACUGCAUUGGGAACUACCGGGCUGGAGUGCCGGAGAGGUAGGCGGAAUUCGUAGUGUAGCGGUGAAAUGCGUAGAUAUUAGGAGGAACACCAGUGGCGAAGGCAGCCUACUGG